GUGACUUCAACUGUCACUUUUCUGUCAUGCAGCUGACAAACUCAAACUCUGCCUGUCCUUAUCAUUCAAGACUGUGUGUUAUGAGGACUGCUUCCCUGAGAAUGCUGAGUGCAUUCUGGAAUAUUCCAAAUGUGUGCCACUUCCAUACCGACGCCCGCAAGAGAGUUCACUCAUCAGGUCAAAGUUGGUCUGUCCUGAUGGCACUACCUGCUGCUUGAUGAUGUCUAGUAGCCAUCGCUGCUGCCUUCAACGCGGGUGU